rnacentral:rRNA from 1 species
UGGGGAAUAUUGGACAAUGGGCGAAAGCCUGAUCCAGCAACGCCGCGUGGAGGAUGAAGGUCUUCGGAUUGUAAACUCCUGUCAGGCGGGACGAACGGGCGCCGGUAAAUAAUCGGCGUCCUUGACGGUACCGCCAGAGGAAGCCCCGGCUAACUCCGUGCCAGCAGCCGCGGUAAUACGGAGGGGGCGAGCGUUAUUCGGAAUUAUUGGGCGUAAAGGGCGCGUAGGCGGCUGUGUAAGUCAAAGGUGAAAUCCCUCAGCUCAACUGAGGAACUGCCUUUGAAACUGCACAGCUUGAGGCCGGGAGGGGGUGGCGGAAUUCCCAGUGUAGCGGUGAAAUGCGUAGAUAUUGGGAGGAACACCAGUGGCGAAGGCGGCCACCUGGACCGGUUCUGACGCUGAUGCGCGAAAGCGUGGGUAGCAAACAGG